rnacentral:lncRNA from 1 species
UUCUUGAUCCUAUGUGUUGUAUUGAGUGUUGGUCACUGGUCUUUGGGAAGCUUGGACAGAAGUGGGGCAGCCAUGGAGCUGCUGACUGGGACUGGCCUGUGGCCCGUGGUCAUAGUCACAGUCAUCUUCAUAUUACUGGUGGACAUGUUGCACCGGUGCCAGCGCUGGACUUCUUGCUGCCCACCAGACCCUGUGCCAUGGCCUGUGCUGGGUAACCUGCUGCAGGUGGACCUGGAUAACAUGCCAUAUAACUUGUACAAGCUUCACAACCGCUAUGGUGACGUGUUCAGCCUGCAGAUGGGCUGGAACCACAUGGCCGUGAUCAACGGACUGAAGGUGUGGUCCUUGCUCCUUAUGGGCCUGAGUGGAAAGAGCAGAGGUGAUUCUCUGCGUCGACCCUGUGCAACUUCAGCCUGGGCAAGAAAUCACUGGAGCAGUGGGUGAUGGAAGAGGUUGGACACCUCUUUGAUGUCUUCACUGCCCAUGCUGGGAGUCCCCUCAAUCCUUACCCUCUCUUGGACAAAGCCGUGUGCAAUGUGAUUGUGUCUCUCAUUUAUGCCCAUCGCUUCGAGUAUGGAGACCCUGACUUCAUCAAGAUGCUAAAAAGGAGGCUGUAGACAAGAGAUUUGGAAAGAACACAUCUAGAAGUGUCCACCACAGUAAUAGGAGCCUGGAGAUUGACAUACAGCAAAAGGAAGUGAGAAGCUGACCAAGGUCAGGGCUUCUAGAAGCUGAGACCCUGGCCCUCUGCCCACAUGGAACAUCUGUGAGAUUUUCCAGGUUCUGAACACAUUCCCAAUUCUCCUACGCAUCCCAGGGUUGGCUGACAAAGUCUUCCCUGGGCAAAAGACAUUUCUCAUAAUGGUGGAUAAGCUGGUGACUGAGCACAAGAGGACCUGGAACUCGGACCAGCCGCCUCGAGACCUGACUGAUGCCUUUAUGGCUGAGAUGGAGAAGGCAAAGGGAAACCCUGAGAGUAGCUUCAAUGAUGCAAAUCUAUGUCUGGUUGUCCUUGACCUGCUGGGUGCUGCAACUGUGACCACCUCAACCACACUGUCCUGGGCCCUGCUGCUUAUGAUCCUGCAUCCGGAUGUGCAGUGUGAGCCUGGCUGGGGCUGUCAAGAAAGGAGGAGGAGGGUAGAGGCAAACUCCUUAAACUUACUUGGGACACUUGUAGAUCCCAGCAUUGAGUUAACCCAGACUGCAGUAAGUAUGGUUGCCUUAUUUCUCCCAUGGACCCAGCCCUUAACAGAGAGGUAGUGGAUGGACAAGGGGCACCCACUGAAGCAUCUUAACUGAUGGGAAAAUGUCCUUCCAGGCCAAGUACAACAGGAAAUCGAUGAGGUCAUUUGGUAUGUGUGGCUUCCAGAGAUGGCAGACCAGGUCUGCAUGCCCUUCACCAAUGCUGUCAUUCAUGAGGUACAGUGCUUACAGUUACUGGGAUAUCAUCCCAAUAACUUUGCCACACAGGACUUCUCGUGACAUUGAAGUGUGGGGCUUUCUUAUCCCUAAGGUAGGUCUGGGUCUCUCCAGUGUCUAGUCAGUGUUGCCAGCUACCCGCUGACUUGAUCUGCCCAGUUAAGAAGGACUAGAUUACAGGCAUUCCAAUUCUCAACUCAAGGGAACCAACAUCCCCUGGGUAAAUAUGGGAAUAGAAACAAGAGCAAUAACUGCUUUAGAAUCCCUACCUAGAAAUGCAGGCAAGGUAAAAUAUGGCAGGAGUGGUUGUAACAGCCACUACCUACAAAUACAGGUCACAGUGUGUACAUCUGUCCCAUCACAUUUCCAUGUCACAGUAUUAAUGAAAUCUGUGAAGCUUCUGUGGUUAGUUUAUAUGACAGCAUCCAGUGUGUGUGUGGUACAGGCUGUGCCUGUGAAUGUCGUGACUAGUAAGGGUCUAGUAAAACUCACCCUGUUCAUGUUCACACAAUGUGCUUCAUGCCAGGGCAUGACUCUCAUCUCCAACCUGUUCCGUGCUGAAGGAUGAGACUGUCUGGGAGAAGCCCCUUCGCUUCCAUCCUGAACACUUCCUGGAUGCCCAGGGCCACUUUGUGAAGCCUGAGGCCUUCAUGCCAUUCUCAGCAGGUGCCUCUAGGGUGCCUUCCUGCCUAUCUUUCCCUAGGGUGCCUUGGAGGGUGGAGCACCAAUCAGGUCCCAGACUGAGCCCUCUUCUACACAUAGGCCACAGAUCAUGCCUGGGGGAGCCCCUGGCCCUCAUGGAGCUCUUCCUCUUCUUCACCUGCCUCCUGCAGCGCUUUAGCUUCUCAAUGCCAGCUGGACAAUCCCUUCCCAGUGAUUAUGGCAUCUAUACAAUGCCAGUUACUCCAGCACCUACCAGCUCUGUGCAGUGGUUUGCUAGCAGGGGCAGUGGCUCCAGCCAUCAUCACAGAUUGUUCUGACUGAUGUCCAAUAAACAAGUUUUGUGUCUGAAUC